UAUACUCUUUACUGGACAGUGGCAUAGGAGUAAUCUGAAGAUGGAAUGGAAGACCAGGGGAUUGCUUCCUUCGUACAGACUCGCUAGUGGCAUAAGAUGCCCAGAUAUGUACUGAAAAAACUUGAUCAUGAAGAGGCAGAAGUUUCUGCACUUAAUUAAAUAUGUCACAAGAGAUUAGAUCCAGCAUACCUGUGUUUGUAGAGGUAAAAUGCAAACCCUGAUAAUAUUAGAGCAAAGAACGG